GCCCUGCUAGCUCAGUGGUAGAGCGUCGCACUUGUACGAGCGCGUCUCGAUGCGAAGGUCAGUCGUUCAAUCCGGCUGCGGGGCA
rnacentral:tRNA from 1 species